rnacentral:misc_RNA from 1 species
GAUGAAGAACGUAGCGAAAUGUGAUAAGUAAUGUGAAUUGCAGAAUUCAGUGAAUCAUCGAAUCUUUGAACGCACAUUGCGCCCGCCAGCACUCUGGCGGGCAUGCCUGUUCGAGCGUCAUUUCAACCAUCAAGCCCCCAGGGGCUUGUGCUGGGGCCCUGCGGCUGCCCGCAGGCCCUGAAAACCAGUGGCGGGCUCGCUAGUCACACCGAGCGCAGUAGCACAUCUCGCUCAGGGCGUGCGGCGGGCUCCUGCCGUGAAACCCCCCACUGUAACCCCAAAGGUUGACCUCGGAUCAGGAAGGAAUACCCGCUGAACUUAAGCAUAUCAAUAAGCGGAGGA